AGACCCGAAACCCGGUGAUCUAGCCAUGGGCAGGUUGAAGGUUGGGUAACACUAACUGGAGGACCGAACCGACUAAUGUUGAAAAAUUAGCGGAUGACCUGUGGCUGGGGGUGAAAGGCCAAUCAAACCGGGAGAUAGCUGGUUCUCCCCGAAAGCUAUUUAGGUAGCGCCUCGUGAAUUCAUCUCCGGGGGUAGAGCACUGUUUCGGCUAGGGGGCCAUCCCGGCUUACCAACCCGAUGCAAACUGCGAAUACCGGAGAAUGUUAUCACGGGAGACACACGGCGGGUGCUAACGUCCGUCGUGAAGAGGGAAACAACCCAGACCGCCAGCUAAGGUCCCAAAGUCAUGGUUAAGUGGGAAACGAUGUGGGAAGGCCCAGACAGCCAGGAUGUUGGCUUAGAAGCAGCCAUCA
rnacentral:rRNA from 1 species